CCACGGGCGGCUGCAGUGGGGAAUAUUGGACAAUGGGCGAAAGCCUGAUCCAGCCAUGCCGCGUGUGUGAAGAAGGCCUUCGGGUUGUAAAGCACUUUCAGUGGGGAAGAAAGCCUUGGGGCUAAUACCCUCGAGGAAGGACAUCACCCACAGAAGAAGCACCGGCUAACUCCGUGCCAGCAGCCGCGGUAAUACGGAGGGUGCGAGCGUUAAUCGGAAUUACUGGGCGUAAAGCGCGCGUAGGCGGUCUGAUAAGCCGGUUGUGAAAGCCCCGGGCUCAACCUGGGAACGGCAUCCGGAACUGUCAGGCUAGAGUGCAGGAGAGGAAGGUAGAAUUCCCGGUGUAGCGGUGAAAUGCGUAGAGAUCGGGAGGAAUACCAGUGGCGAAGGCGGCCUUCUGGACUGACACUGAUGCUGAGGUGCGAAAGCGUGGGUAGCAAACAGGAUUAGAUACCCGAGUAGUC
rnacentral:rRNA from 1 species